rnacentral:tRNA from 1 species
UGGCUCAGUUGGUGGAGCAUGUGACUCUUGAUCUCUGGGUUGUGAGUUCAAGCCUCAC